UGCGAGGGAUGGGUUAUUGGCUGCGAGGGAUGGGUUAUUGGCUGCGAGGGAUGGGUUAUUGGCUGCGAGGGAAGGGUUAUUGGCUGCGAGGGAAGGGUUAUUGGCUGCGAGGGAAGGGUAAUUGGCUGCGAGGGAUGGGUUAUUGGCUGCGAGGGAAGGGUUAUUGGCUGCGAGGGAUGGGGUUAUUGGCUGCGAAGGAAGGGUUAUUGGCUGCGAGGGAAGGGUUAUUGGCUGCGAGGGAAGGGUUAUUGGCUGCGAGGGAUGGGGUUAUUGGCUGCGAGGGAAGGGUUAUUGGCUGCGAGGGAAGGGUUAUUGGCUGCGAGGGAUGGGGUUAUUGGCUGCGAGGGAUGGGGUUAUUGGCUGCGAGGGAUGGGGUUAUUGGCUGCGAGGGAUGGGGUUAUUGGCUGCGAGGGAUGGGUAAAUUGACUGCGAGGGAUGGGUUAUUGACUGCGAGGGAUGGGUAAAUUGACUGCGAGGGAUGGG
rnacentral:lncRNA from 1 species